GGUUAAGUGACUAAGCGUACACGGUGGAUGCCCUGGCAGUCAGAGGCGAUGAAGGACGUGCUAAUCUGCGAUAAGCGUCGGUAAGGUGAUAUGAACCGUUAUAACCGGCGAUUUCCGAAUGGGGAAACCCAGUGUGUUUCGACACACUAUCAUUAACUGAAUCCAUAGGUUAAUGAGGCGAACCGGGGGAACUGAAACAUCUAAGUACCCCGAGGAAAAGAAAUCAACCGAGAUUCCCCCAGUAGCGGCGAGCGAACGGGGAGCAGCCCAGAGCCUGAAUCAGUGUGUGUGUUAGUGGAAGCGUCUGGAAAGGCGCGCGAUACAGGGUGACAGCCCCGUACACAAAAAUGCACAUGCUGUGAGCUCGAUGAGUAGGGCGGGACACGUGGUAUCCUGUCUGAAUAUGGGGGGACCAUCCUCCAAGGCUAAAUACUCCUGACUGACCGAUAGUGAACCAGUACCGUGAGGGAAAGGCGAAAAGAACCCCGGCGAGGGGAGUGAAAAAGAACCUGAAACCGUGUACGUACAAGCAGUGGGAGCACGCUUAGGCGUGUGACUGCGUACCUUUUGUAUAAUGGGUCAGCGACUUAUAUUCUGUAGCAAGGUUAACCGAAUAGGGGAGCCGAAGGGAAACCGAGUCUUAACUGGGCGUUAAGUUGCAGGGUAUAGACCCGAAACCCGGUGAUCUAGCCAUGGGCAGGUUGAAGGUUGGGUAACACUAACUGGAGGACCGAACCGACUAAUGUUGAAAAAUUAGCGGAUGACUUGUGGCUGGGGGUGAAAGGCCAAUCAAACCGGGAGAUAGCUGGUUCUCCCCGAAAGCUAUUUAGGUAGCGCCUCGUGAAUUCAUCUCCGGGGGUAGAGCACUGUUUCGGCAAGGGGGUCAUCCCGACUUACCAACCCGAUGCAAACUGCGAAUACCGGAGAAUGUUAUCACGGGAGACACACGGCGGGUGCUAACGUCCGUCGUGAAGAGGGAAACAACCCAGACCGCCAGCUAAGGUCCCAAAGUCAUGGUUAAGUGGGAAACGAUGUGGGAAGGCCCAGACAGCCAGGAUGUUGGCUUAGAAGCAGCCAUCAUUUAAAGAAAGCGUAAUAGCUCACUGGUCGAGUCGGCCUGCGCGGAAGAUGUAACGGGGCUAAACCAUGCACCGAAGCUGCGGCAGCGACACUAUGUGUUGUUGGGUAGGGGAGCGUUCUGUAAGCCUGUGAAGGUGUGCUGUGAGGCAUGCUGGAGGUAUCAGAAGUGCGAAUGCUGACAUAAGUAACGAUAAAGCGGGUGAAAAGCCCGCUCGCCGGAAGACCAAGGGUUCCUGUCCAACGUUAAUCGGGGCAGGGUGAGUCGACCCCUAAGGCGAGGCCGAAAGGCGUAGUCGAUGGGAAACAGGUUAAUAUUCCUGUACUUGGUGUUACUGCGAAGGGGGGACGGAGAAGGCUAUGUUGGCCGGGCGACGGUUGUCCCGGUUUAAGCGUGUAGGCUGGUUUUCCAGGCAAAUCCGGAAAAUCAAGGCUGAGGCGUGAUGACGAGGCACUACGGUGCUGAAGCAACAAAUGCCCUGCUUCCAGGAAAAGCCUCUAAGCAUCAGGUAACAUCAAAUCGUACCCCAAACCGACACAGGUGGUCAGGUAGAGAAUACCAAGGCGCUUGAGAGAACUCGGGUGAAGGAACUAGGCAAAAUGGUGCCGUAACUUCGGGAGAAGGCACGCUGAUAUGUAGGUGAGGUCCCUCGCGGAUGGAGCUGAAAUCAGUCGAAGAUACCAGCUGGCUGCAACUGUUUAUUAAAAACACAGCACUGUGCAAACACGAAAGUGGACGUAUACGGUGUGACGCCUGCCCGGUGCCGGAAGGUUAAUUGAUGGGGUUAGCGCAAGCGAAGCUCUUGAUCGAAGCCCCGGUAAACGGCGGCCGUAACUAUAACGGUCCUAAGGUAGCGAAAUUCCUUGUCGGGUAAGUUCCGACCUGCACGAAUGGCGUAAUGAUGGCCAGGCUGUCUCCACCCGAGACUCAGUGAAAUUGAACUCGCUGUGAAGAUGCAGUGUACCCGCGGCAAGACGGAAAGACCCCGUGAACCUUUACUAUAGCUUGACACUGAACAUUGAGCCUUGAUGUGUAGGAUAGGUGGGAGGCUUAGAAGUGUGGACGCCAGUCUGCAUGGAGCCGACCUUGAAAUACCACCCUUUAAUGUUUGAUGUUCUAACGUUGACCCGUAAUCCGGGUUGCGGACAGUGUCUGGUGGGUAGUUUGACUGGGGCGGUCUCCUCCUAAAGAGUAACGGAGGAGCACGAAGGUUGGCUAAUCCUGGUCGGACAUCAGGAGGUUAGUGCAAUGGCAUAAGCCAGCUUGACUGCGAGCGUGACGGCGCGAGCAGGUGCGAAAGCAGGUCAUAGUGAUCCGGUGGUUCUGAAUGGAAGGGCCAUCGCUCAACGGAUAAAAGGUACUCCGGGGAUAACAGGCUGAUACCGCCCAAGAGUUCAUAUCGACGGCGGUGUUUGGCACCUCGAUGUCGGCUCAUCACAUCCUGGGGCUGAAGUAGGUCCCAAGGGUAUGGCUGUUCGCCAUUUAAAGUGGUACGCGAGCUGGGUUUAGAACGUCGUGAGACAGUUCGGUCCCUAUCUGCCGUGGGCGCUGGAGAACUGAGGGGGGCUGCUCCUAGUACGAGAGGACCGGAGUGGACGCAUCACUGGUGUUCGGGUUGUCAUGCCAAUGGCACUGCCCGGUAGCUAAAUGCGGAAGAGAUAAGUGCUGAAAGCAUCUAAGCACGAAACUUGCCCCGAGAUGAGUUCUCCCUGACCCUUUAAGGGUCCUGAAGGAACGUUGAAGACGACGACGUUGAUAGGCCGGGUGUGUAAGCGCAGCGAUGCGUUGAGCUAACCGGUACUAAUGAACCGUGAGGCUUAACCUU
rnacentral:rRNA from 1 species